GGUGAACGCUGGCGGCGUGCUUAAGACACGCAAGUCGAACGGCAGUCUUCGGACUGUAGUGGCGCACGGGUGAGUAACGCGUAACUGACCUACCCCAAAGUCGCGGAUAACGAUUCGAAAGAAUCGCUAAUACGUGAUGUGCUGUCAGAUUGUGUUCUGCCAGUAAAGAUUGAUUGCUUUGGGAUGGGGUUGGGUUCCAUCAGCUAGUUGGUGGGGUAAAGGCCCACCAAGGCGACGACGGAUAGCCGGCCUGUGAGGGUGGCCGGCCACAGGGGCACCGAGACACAGGUGCCACUCCGGCGGGAGGCAGCGGUUAAGAAGCUUCCACGAUGGGCGAAAGCCUGAUGGAGCGGCGCCGCGUGAGGGAUGAAGGUCUUAGGAUCGUAAACCUCUGAAUCAGGGACGAAAGACACUUCGGUGGGAUGACGGUACCUGAGUAAUAGCACCGGCUAACUCCGUGCCAGCCGCCGCAGUAACAC
rnacentral:rRNA from 1 species